rnacentral:rRNA from 1 species
GACGAACGCUGGCGGCGUGCUUAACACAUGCAAGUCGAACGGAAAGGCCCUGCUUUUGUGGGGUGCUCGAGUGGGGAACGGGUGAGUAAGACGUGAGUAACCUGCCCUUGACUUUGGGAUAACUUCAGGAAAGUGGGGCUAAUCCCGGAUAGGAGCUGCUGCAGCAGGGUGGGGGUGGGAAAGUUUGGGCGGGUGGGGCUGGACGCGCGGCUUAUCGGCUUGUUGGUGGGGUAGUGGCUUACCAAGGCAGUGACGGGUAGCCGGCCUGGGAGGGGGACCGGGCACAUGGGUACUGAGAGACGGCGCAGACUCCAACGGGAGGCAGCAGUGGGGAAUAUGGCACAGUGGGCGGGAGCCUGAGGCAGCAACGCCGCGUGCGGGAUGCCGGCCUUCUGGUUGUAAACCGCUGUCGCCUGAGACGAAGCGUGAGUGACGGUAAUGGGUGAAGAAGCACCGGCUAACUACGUG